UAACACAUGCAAGUCGAGGGGCAGCACAGGUACCUUUACCGGGUGGCGACCGGCGCACGGGUGAGUAACGCGUAUGCAACUUACCUAUCAGAGGGGGAUAACCCGGCGAAAGUCGGACUAAUACCGCAUGAAGCAGGGGCCCCGCAUGGGGAUAUUUGCUAAAGAUUCAUCGCUGAUAGAUAGGCAUGCGUUCCAUUAGGCAGUUGGCGGGGUAACGGCCCACCAAACCGACGAUGGAUAGGGGUUCUGAGAGGAAGGUCCCCCACAUUGGUACUGAGACACGGACCAAACUCCUACGGGAGGCAGCAGUGAGGAAUAUUGGUCAAUGGCCGAGAGGCUGAACCAGCCAAGUCGCGUGAGGGAUGAAGGUUCUAUGGAUCGUAAACCUCUUUUAUAAGGGAAUAAAGUGCGGGACGUGUCCCGUUUUGUAUGUACCUUAUGAAUAAGGAUCGGCUAACUCCGUGCCAGCAGCCGCGGUAAUACGGAGGAUCCGAGCGUUAUCCGGAUUUAUUGGGUUUAAAGGGUGCGUAGGCGGCCUUUUAAGUCAGCGGUGAAAGUCUGUGGCUCAACCAUAGAAUUGCCGUUGAAACUGGGGGGCUUGAGUAUGUUUGAGGCAGGCGGAAUGCGUGGUGUAGCGGUGAAAUGCAUAGAUAUCACGCAGAACCCCGAUUGCGAAGGCAGCCUGCCAAGCCAUUACUGGCGCUGAUGCACGAAAGCGUGGGGAUCAAACAGGAUUAGAUACCCUGGUAGUCCACGCAGUAAACGAUGAUCACUAGCUGUUUGCGAUACACUGUAAGCGGCACAGCGAAAGCGUUAAGUGAUCCACCUGGGGAGUACGCCGGCAACGGUGAAACUCAAAGGAAUUGACGGGGGCCCGCACAAGCGGAGGAACAUGUGGUUUAAUUCGAUGAUACGCGAGGAACCUUACCCGGGUUUGAACGCAUUCGGACCGGGGUGGAAACACCUUUUCUAGCAAUAGCCGUUUGCGAGGUGCUGCAUGGUUGUCGUCAGCUCGUGCCGUGAGGUGUCGGCUUAAGUGCCAUAACGAGCGCAACCCUUGCCACUAGUUACUAACAGGUAAAGCUGAGGACUCUGGUGGGACUGCCAGCGUAAGCUGCGAGGAAGGCGGGGAUGACGUCAAAUCAGCACGGCCCUUACAUCCGGGGCGACACACGUGUUACAAUGGCGUGGACAAAGGGAAGCCACCUGGCGACAGGGAGCGAAUCCCCAAACCACGUCUCAGUUCGGAUCGGAGUCUGCAACCCGACUCCGUGAAGCUGGAUUCGCUAGUAAUCGCGCAUCAGCCAUGGCGCGGUGAAUACGUUCCCGGGCCUUGUACACACCGCCCGUCAAGCCAUGGGAGCCGGGGGUACCUGAAGUCCGUAACCGCGAGGAUCGGCCUAGGGUAAAACUGGUGACUGGGGCUAAGUCAU
rnacentral:rRNA from 1 species